UACGAAGGGGGCUAGCGUUGUUCGGAAUUACUGGGCGUAAAGGGCGCGUAGGCGGCCCUGUCAGUCAGAAGUGAAAGCCCCGGGCUCAACCUGGGAAUUGCUUUUGAUACUGCGGGGCUUGAGUUCCGGAGAGGUGGGUGGAAUUCCCAGUGUAGAGGUGAAAUUCGUAGAUAUUGGGAAGAACACCGGUGGCGAAGGCGGCCCACUGGACGGACACUGACGCUGAGGCGCGAAAGCGUGGGGAGCAAACAGG
rnacentral:rRNA from 1 species